rnacentral:piRNA from 1 species
UGCUGACUCUAAUAAAAUGAGGAAUGCC